CAAAACCUGCCGGAGAACGGUCUUUCAGUGCGCAGGAACCCCCCGGGGGUGGAGAAUAGCGUGCAGUUCAGGGAUGGACACGUGCGGCAGAGAUUGGCCCAAGCGAGGGCGCAGGUGGAAAGCGGGAGAGCGCGGAUGAUACCUAGUGGGGCGAGAGGAGUCUUCCUCUUCUAGGGGCUCCCGGAGCUCGGCGGGCCCCUGUUCUCAGUAAAGGAGGUAGCAGAAGGCACACCUGAAGCCAGCGCUGGAGGGAAGGGCGAGGGUCAGCUUCCACCCCUUUCCGCCCUGGAGACCGCUGAUGUCGCUUUAUGGUUGUAGCAAGUUUAAUCAUCCUCCAUUUGUCUGGGGCAACCAAGAAAGGAACAGAAAAGCAAACCACCUCAGAAACACAGAAGUCAGUGCAGUGUGGAACUUGGACAAAACAUGCAGAGGGAGGUAUCUUUACCUCUCCCAACUAUCCCAGCAAGUAUCCCCCUGACCGGGAAUGCAUCUACAUCAUAGAAGCCGCUCCAAGACAGUGCAUUGAACUUUACUUUGAUGAGAAGUACUCUAUUGAACCGUCUUGGGAGUGCAAAUUUGAUCAUAUUGAAGUUCGAGAUGGACCUUUUGGCUUUUCUCCAAUAAUUGGACGUUUCUGUGGACAACAGAAUCCACCUGUCAUAAAAUCCAGUGGAAGAUUUCUAUGGAUUAAAUUUUUUGCUGAUGGAGAGCUGGAAUCUAUGGGAUUUUCAGCUCGAUACAAUUUCACACCUGAUCCUGACUUUAAGGACCUUGGAGCUUUGAAACCAUUACCAGCGUGUGAGUUUGAGAUGGGCGGUUCCGAAGGAAUUGUGGAGUCUAUACAAAUUAUGAAGGAAGGCAAAGCUACUGCUAGCGAGGCUGUUGAUUGCAAGUGGUACAUCCGAGCACCUCCACGGUCCAAGAUUUACUUACGAUUCUUGGACUAUGAGAUGCAGAAUUCAAAUGAGUGCAAGAGGAAUUUUGUGGCUGUGUAUGAUGGAAGCAGUUCCGUGGAGGAUUUGAAAGCUAAGUUCUGUAGCACUGUGGCUAAUGAUGUCAUGCUACGCACGGGUCUCGGGGUGAUCCGCAUGUGGGCAGAUGAGGGCAGUCGAAACAGCCGAUUUCAGAUGCUCUUCACAUCCUUUCAAGAACCUCCUUGUGAAGGCAACACAUUCUUCUGCCAUAGUAACAUGUGUAUUAAUAAUACUUUGGUCUGCAAUGGACUCCAGAACUGUGUGUAUCCUUGGGAUGAAAAUCACUGUAAAGAGAAGAGGAAAACCAGCCUGCUGGACCAGCUGACCAACACCAGUGGGACUGUCAUUGGCGUGACUUCCUGCAUCGUGAUCAUCCUCAUUAUCAUCUCUGUCAUCGUGCAGAUCAAACAGCCUCGUAAAAAGUAUGUCCAAAGGAAAUCAGACUUUGACCAGACAGUUUUCCAGGAGGUAUUUGAACCUCCUCAUUAUGAGUUAUGCACUCUCAGAGGGACAGGAGCUACAGCUGACUUUGCAGAUGUGGCAGAUGACUUUGAAAAUUACCAUAAACUGCGGAGGUCAUCUUCCAAAUGCAUUCAUGACCAUCACUGUGGAUCACAGCUGUCCAGCACUAAAGGCAGCCGCAGUAACCUCAGCACAAGAGAUGCUUCUAUCUUGACAGAGAUGCCCACACAGCCAGGAAAACCCCUCAUCCCACCCAUGAACAGAAGAAAUAUCCUUGUCAUGAAACACAACUACUCGCAAGAUGCUGCAGAUGCCUGUGACAUAGAUGAAAUCGAAGAGGUGCCGACCACCAGUCACAGGCUGUCCAGACACGAUAAAGCCGUCCAGCGGUUCUGCCUCAUUGGGUCUCUAAGCAAACAUGAAUCUGAAUACAACACAACUAGGGUGUAAAAAGAAAAUUCAAGCUAAUCUCUUCUAAACUCCUCAAGCCUCUCAACUAUUCUUGAACUAGAGAAGAACUAUUUAUACAAACAUGGGGACUGUGAAAAGAAAAUUCUAUAGUGAAUUGUGAAAAGUGGACAUAUUUCUAAAUUCAUUCCACUGCCUUUAUCCAAACUUAAGAAUUACAGACAUUUGUUAUUCCUUCGGCAAGACAUCCCCGCUGCACACUGAUAUGUUCAUUUCGUAAUUUGGUUGCUGGCCACCAAGUGCUCCUUAGUUUUUAAAUACAUUUUGAGAUUAACUGGAAACUUGAAGAAGAAAUUAGUUCCCGAUUAAGACUAUCCCAACUUUAUUUUUAUUGUCAGUUUCACUUUUGUUUCUAUGUUGUUUUAUGUCUUUGUUAUAUAAUUGUACAUUGUGUGAUAUGUGAAAAAAAAACACGAAUUUGGAUGAACCUUGUGUUACAUGUACAUUGUUUUCAUUAUAUAGACAGCUUGAGAAUAGUGCGUUCCUGAAUGAUUUUGAACAUGCUACAGUGAAAAGUCACAGUGUGGACCAUGGAAUCACCAGCUAGAGGUUAUGGACUAUACACACCUAUUAUUAUAUUCUGAUUAAAUACAGGAAAAAGUAACAAGUAAAAUUACUAGAUUGCAAUAAAAAAAUUCAUUUUUUGGUCUUUCCUGUAUACCCCUGAUUUCCUUUUUGUUUUAUAUCAAAGAAAGUACUGAGUUUCAGAAAUCCUUUUUGAAGUCAGGUAUUUUACCAUUCAUACUCUACAGUAGAAAUGUUUUUGAUUAAGCACUCAGCAAUAUGACCAAAUUGACAGUUUGAGAAAAUACCCUGCAUGUCAGUACUGGAUAUUUGAGUUGGGAAAAUAUCCUUUUUGUUAGACACAUUGUGAAAAGCAUGCAUUGUCAAAUACUGUUGUUACUCUUCCAUUUCUUUAUGUCAUAUGCUUGCUACUUACGACUUUUUAUAUAAAUAUAUAUAAAAUGUAUAAUAAUUUCCUAAUUUGAGUUAAGAGAAAUGUUUUCUUCCAUUAGAGUGAUUAAAAAACUGACUCACAUAAAUACACAUUUUAUACCAACUCUUUCCACCUUUUAGGGUACAGGAUGUCCUUCAGUAUUGAGGUUUACUUCCCAAAAUAUUUGGCUUCUAAAAGUUUAGGGGAAUAUUUUCUUCUUUUAGAAUAGGGAACUCUUUUUAAAACUGCUUUAAAAUCACAAGCCCUUUUAUGAAUUAAACCACCAUUAUGAAUUAUUCUUAUUCUCAGGUACACAUAAUACACCUGAAAGCUUAGUGAUUAUGAUGUGUUUAACAUAAAGUAAAAUCCUAAAAUAUAUUUUGUUGCUAUUAAAUUAUAUACACACUCUGUAAAGUUUGAUUUGGUGAGUGGUUAUUUUUUAAAAUAUUCAAUGUGUAAUCUUACAAAAUAAAUUUUUAAAAUAAGAAUUACUAUCAGUAUAUAUGCUUGCCAACAUUUUCAAAACUACUGAAUUCUCCAGGUUGAAAGAACUCUGUCCUUCCACUAGCAGAGCAGUCUGGUCUACUAAAAUUUGGACUUUGCAAUUCAAGCAGGCUUUGCAAACUAAAUAGAUGAAUUACUGUUAUACUUCCCUACUAGGAAUACAAUGUCAUAUAUGUUAAAAAAUAAGUAAAUAGAAAAUAAAUUUUUAUAAUAGAAAAGUCAAAGAGUUAUCAUAGCCAUUAUAAACACUCUAUCUUGAAAAAAUGUCAAGCUACAGAAUCACUUCAAUGAAUUUGAUAAACUAGGGAAUCAGAAAAGGUUUUGAACAUGACAAAGAUUAUUUUUCAUUGUUAUGCUACAUAGUUUUAUACACAUUGCUUAUGAUAAAAUGUACCCUUUUUUAUUUGGCUUGACUGGUUUAUUUAUUACCAUGGUUCCUUUUUUGCCCUUUAAUUUAAAAUUAAUACACCAAAGAUUUUUUUAAAGGAUUAAUCAUAUCUUAUAUUGCUUUCUCCAUUUAGAAAUCUUCAGAGGAGUCCUUUCCCUUUGAAUGAUAAUCUCAAAAGUAUGAUAUAACUGUCAAGAUUUUUUUAUUUGUAACAGCAAUAAAAAUAGUGAAAUAAGUUAGGUGAACACUUUACUAUUAAUUUGUUCUAUAACUGUCCGGGAUGUCCGUCCCCUCCAGUUUCUCCUGAAUAUACAGAAUGCUGAUUCCCUGCUUAAAAGGUAUUUUCACCAGAAAUCUACCAAUGGGACUUUAGAAAAAAACACUAAAUGAAGUAUAAUAAUAAGAAUGAAUAGCUCACAUAUAUUUAACACACAGCAGCUUCAUGGGAAAACAACUGUAUUUUAAAUGAAGAACAGGCCUCCUCAGUGAUAACUCUAACAUUUCUCAACAAUGUACAGACACAGACUAAUCAUAAAAGAAGAUAAUGACGAUGCUGGGCAGUGUCUGGAGGUAGCCUUUUCUCCUGGCAUUCACUCUAGAUGCUGAAACUUGGGAGUGCAGGGCUCUGGCAGAGCUGGGAGAUGUUCUCUGGAGGGCUCUGGCGGUGCUUAUUUAUCAGCCAGUAUUGAGAUUUGUCAAUAUAUCAAAAACGAGUUAGUAGCUAUAUCAGACCUUAUCACCUGAAUGCAGCCUUUUGCCCACAUUCUAAAGGUGGUGACACACAUAGAUAAGGAAUGAGAUGUCUCAAGACUUAUAAGACAUGUUAUUUUAAUAAAUGAUUAUAUUUUUUGAUAAAGUGAAUUCAAAUAUUACCAACCCAAGUGCUUUAUUGAUUUAACAGGAUGAUUUCAAAUAAUGCAUUAAGUUAGCCUGUGUUAAUUUCAUAAAGCUCUUCUUUUUCAUUUUAUUUUUUCAAGUUUUCAUUCACUUUUCAAAAUAAUGGUAGCAUAUAAUCACAUGCAAUGCCAAUGAAGCCGCAUAUUAAGCUUCGUACUUCUGUCCAAAUGUAUUGUAGUUGCCUAAUUUCAAGGUUCUAAUUUGGAAAUCUGAUUUAUUUUGUAUGUUUUUAUAUACAUACCAAUUUUAAGCAUUAUCUUGCAAAGUAGACAUAGGUGGUGUUUGAUCUGCCGUAAUUAACUUGAAUUUGAUUUUGUAACUAAAAUGUGGCUGUCCACAUAAUUGGAGAUCAGUGUCUUUGGGCUUUUAAUGGAGAACAAAUCACAUUUGUGGUGAUGCUGGUUUUUCUGUUUCACAUUUACUUUUGCUCUAGAAGUAUUUCCGUGAGUCUGAUGACUCCAUAAGUUAUGAUCCUCAGUGUUAAGUAACUUAGACUAGACGGUUGGCAUUACUUUAAUAUUCACUUAAGCUUCUGUAUCAUUUUUUUCUGUAUUUUUCCCUUAGGAAUUUAAUUCGGGUCUUCCUCAAAUUUUACAGCUUUAAAAAAAUUCCAUGAAUGGGUUUUCCUCAACCUCAGAAUAUCAUAAUAAAUUACAAGAUAUGACCCCCUGGUUCCUAUUACCUUGAUUAAAGUGACGGCAAUUAAUUUACUGAUGUUUUGUCAGUGAAAUAAAUAAUAGCGUCUUAUGAAGUUUGUAUAUCUCUGAUGAAAAUGAGUCAUGUCAGAUUCCCUCUCUGAAGGGAAGUUAAAUAAACAACAUUUUUAAAAUUCUUUGAAUUCUAAAUAAAUAUGGUUUGAAAAGUGAGUUAGGGUUUUGUCUAAUUGCACUGAGGCGCGCUAGCUUCGGUGCCAUUUUUCUCUGUGCCCUUUUCCCUCCAUGGAUUCAUUUCUAUCUGUUGCACUCUAGCAUAAAGGACCCAGCCAAGAAAUUGUAAAAUAGAUUCAACAACAAAAUAAACAGGUCUUGAGUUAAUUAUCAAUCUCUAUGCACUUAAUUAAUAUUUCCCAAGCCCAUCUUAAAGGUGUAAUAAGGUAGAAAUAUAAAAGUACAUUGUUAAAAUAGCCAGAAAUGUUUUUAUAAAUAAUCCUCCUAAAUAAAUCUGAGGCCCUUUGUUAAUUUACAAUUAUCAUGAUUCAUUUUAUUAAUAACCUUGUUUGAAUUGUACUACAAAUUUAACUGAAUUAUAUCAUCAAAAUAAAUCAAACAGGGUAAUAAAAAUAACAAUUAGGGUGACUGAUGUCAGACACUCAUAUCAACUCAUCAUUUUCUUGUAGCCUCUGAUUCUGUACUUUCUUGUGUAUUAUUAAAGAGGUAAAUGCUCUCUUAAAAUGCCUCUAGUUCCUCAGAGGUAGGAAAAAUAAACUCAACCUGCUUUGGACUUGUGUAUUUACUUGGGUUGGUUUCCAGAAUCUCCUUAUUCCUGAAACAGUAUGAUCAUGUAGUUAAACUACUCCUUUAUAUCUGUAAGUACUGUGCAGCCAACAUGUUCUUUUUUGUCCCCAACUUCUGCCAUCUUUCCAACCUCUGAGGCAUGCUAUUUUAUAGUGGUUUGCUCUUUGAAAAAUUGUUUUUGUGCCCUCUCUUAAUAGUCACAGAUACUGACACAAAACUUAAAAAUGACCAGAAAACAAUGUAUAAAUUAUUUAAAAUAAAACAUUCUUUUUAUAUCA